CCUACGGGAGGCAGCAGUGGGGAAUAUUGGGCAAUGGGCGCAAGCCUGACCCAGCAACGCCGCGUGAAGGAAGAAGGCUUUCGGGUUGUAAACUUCUUUUAAGGGGGAAGAGCAGAAGACGGUACCCCUUGAAUAAGCCACGGCUAACUACGUGCCAGCAGCCGCGGUCAUACGUAGGUGGCAAGCGUUGUCCGGAUUUACGGGGUGGAAAGGGCGUGCAGCCGGGGAGACAAGUCAGAUGUGAAAUCCACGGGCUCAACCCGUGAACUGCAUUUGAAACGGUUUCCCUUGAGUGGCGGAGAGGUAAGCGGAAUGCCUUGGGGAGCGGGGAAAUGCGUAGAGAUAAGGAAGAACACCAGUGGCGAAGGCGGAUUACUGGACGAUAACUGACGGGGAGGCGCGAAAGCGUGGGGAGCAAACAGGAUUAGAUACCCUUGUAGUC
rnacentral:rRNA from 1 species